rnacentral:tRNA from 1 species
GUAAAAUGCCUGAAUAAAGGGUUAUCUUGAUAGGAUAAAUAAUGUAAUUUAUACUUUUACU